UGUCCUAUAUAUACGGUGUGCAAAUGAUAUGCAUGCACAUAUGGUGCAAAGAAUAGAUUCAAAAGAACACGGAUGAGCAAUUUUUAACUCUUUUUGGUUUGCAAAAAUUGUCAAAUAUUCUUAUAAGCCCCUUUAUUAGAUUAACUAUACAUUCUGAAGGAGCAUUCCCAGGUAAGUCCAACUAAUUAUGGAGAUCAUAUUGCUUCUAAAUCUGAAUACUAAAUUAUGGUAAGACAGUAAAGUUUAAAUUCCACCCAGAGAAUACAUUAACCAUGCAUAUAAACGGGCUUAUUUGCCACAAGCACAUAUGUCAUGUGUCUUGACUACAUCAGUUAGAUGAUUAUGGAUUUAUAAUAAAUAAGUCGAUAAAUUUAAAU
rnacentral:lncRNA from 1 species